rnacentral:rRNA from 1 species
UAUCUCUGUAGAGUCUGCAUAUCAAUAAGCGGAGGAAAAGAAACUAACUAGGAUUCCCUCAGUAACGGCGAGUGAAGCGGGAAGAGCUCAAAUUUGAAAUCUUCAAGGGUUCUACCUUUACGAAUUGUAGUUUAAAGAAGUGUUUUCUGUUGGAGUUUUGGUAAAAGUUCUUUGGAAUAGGACAUCAUAGAGGGUGAGAAUCCCGUAUUUGACCAGUUACUUUCCAGCUGUGUGAUACACUUUCAAAGAGUCGGAUUGUUUGGGAAUGCAGUCCAAGAUGGGUGGUAAAUUUCAUCUAAAGCUAAAUAUUGGCGAGAGACCGAUAGCGAACAAGUACCGUGAGGGAAAGAUGAAAAGAACUUUGAAAAGAGAGUUAAACAGUACGUGAAAUUGUCAAAAGGGAAGCGUUUGACACCAGUGUUGUUUUCUCGAAAAUCAAUUAAAAAAGGCUAGGAUUUUGUGUUGUAUUGACUUUAUCAGCUUUCUGCACUCUUUUCUUGUCUUUUUUAAUGCACUUUUCGUUUAACAAGUCAACAUCAAUUUCUUUUGUUGUAAAAGGGUCAUUGGAAGGUGGCUUUCUUUUCGGAGAAAGUGUUUAUAGCCUUUGGCCUCUGCAAUCGGAGAGAUUGAGGUCUGCAGCGUAGAUCCUUCGGGGUUAGAUACAUUUGUGCUAAGUUAUAGCCUUUCAUAGACAACUUGUUGACUAUGAUCAGUCAUGUAGCUUACUCGCUUAUGCUAUUUUACCUACGCUUAGGAUGUUGAGUCAUCACACAUCUCU